rnacentral:lncRNA from 1 species
UCCAUUCUAGUUUGCGUUGGUCCACCAACAUCCCCAUCACCUUGUGUAAUAUUUAACUCUCUUUUGUGAUCUUCAGCUAUAUGUCUCAUUAACGUACCCGUACCCCCUUGCUUGCCUCCAUUUCUAUGCUUAUAUAUUUGUUGACAAAUAUUGCAUUGCACCUCAUUAUCUGAUAUACGUUCAAAAAAUUGCCAUGCAACACUAAUUUUUUUACGAGAUCUUGGGGAACUAGGAGGACGGGGAGGGAGAUUAACCGAUUCAGAUCUAACAUUAGUAUUUCCUACUGUGGGUGUCUCAGCAAUAUUUUCAUCAUCUUCGUCUAAAUUAACUGCAUCUACUUCAUUUUCUUCUUCUAUACCAUAAUUUUCCUAAACUUCUACAUAAUCCAUAUCGCGAGCUCCUACACCUAUUUUUUCCUCAAAAGGUGUACCAAGCGGAACCGGAGGCGAAUGCACACGGGUAUAUCUACUACUUGAACUACCUCUAGUAAUUCGCUUUUUACUACCACUACCGCUUCCGGGACAAAAAAUUAUAACAUCUUUAGUAGCGAGGUUUCUUAAUUUAUCCAUAAUAUAAAUUAAAUUAAACUAAAAUAUUCAGAAUACAUAAAUAUAAUAAAAUUAAAUAUUAAACAACUAAUACAAUAAUAAAAAUUAAACGUAAGAGAUGGAACGACAAUACCAAAUUUUGAAAGUAUCCGAAGGUUGCGACUUUGGAAACUUCCACUCGUACUUUGUAAACAAAAAUUAAAAACUUAAAGUGAACACUUUAAGAAAUUAAAUAUAUUGAAUAUUUGAGAAUUGAGAAUUGAGAUUUGAGAGAGAAUGAGAUUUUAGAAAGUGAAAAAUUGUGUGAAAAAUGAUUUGAAAUUGUAGGGUAUUUACAGAAUUUUUUUUGGGAUUAAAAAAUAAUUUUUAAUGUAAUUUUUUUUUUUUUUAAUAAAUGGGCCCAAACUAGCCGUUUGGACCCAAAAACGGCUAUAUAGCCGUUGGGCCAAAAACUAGUUGGGCCCAAAAUCCAAUUUUUAUUGUUAUUUUUAAAAAAAAAAAGGUAACCGGGCCGGGCCGGGCCAGGUCGGUUAACCCAUGGACCUGGACCGAGCUUGAUCCGGGCCGAAUUAACCGAAAUUCUAAAGCCCUUGGGCUUAUCGGGCCGGGUUAAAUCGGGCCAGUUUAUUAUGUGGGCCGGUUUUUGACACCCAUAGAGUAGUUGAAGAAACUACUAACUCUAACUAUCUAACUGCACUGAUCGGGGUCGAUCUCACUGACAAAGUUAAUGUCUGUCCAAGUUGAGAGAAUCAGAGUUCCGUUUAUUCACUUAAGGAGAUAAGUAUAUUCACACUAUGUUCCAGGGACGUCAUCUGGAUGAAACUAAAAAAUUUGUCAAUAAAAUUUCAAAACAGAGCAUAGACUCAAUUAAGAACUUAAGACAAAAGUAAUAGCAAUCAGAAAAUUCCAUACCUUGUAAAGCUACCAAAGUAGCAGCAAAUUCCAUACCUAAAAUUGGAAGAGAAGGAAAGAAAUCCCAAAGCAAAAUGACAUCAUUGUAUUGAAUAUCUUACAUUAAUCAGCGAGAUUACAUUUAAAUAAUCGAGUACAUAGAAUAUCUCUUCACAUGCAACAACGCCGAUUGGUAAAGGAUGCAUCUUUUGUUUGGGGUCUGGUGUUUAGUGUUUGUCGUUUGGGGUAUUUAUUUUUCUCCAAAAAUUAGGUCUCUUGGAGGGGUUUGUCUUUUUAAUUUUUUUUAAAAAAUAAUUUAGUGAUUUUUGUAAGUU